CCAGAAGGCCCCGGGCCUGCGGCCUUGGUAGCCAGGCCACCCGCUGCCCUGAUGAGGCUGCUGGGAGUGAGUAUUCCAGCUCUGCGUGGUCCUUUCGUCUUGUGAAAGAGAAAAACAUUGAACUACAACUUUAAGCUCUUCAUUUGAAGAAAGUUACAGUUCAGACACUGGAGAUUUUUGUCACCAAUAUUUCAAGCUGGGCUCAUCCUUGGAGACCUCGACUGGGCUUCGCCUUCUUCAUUCCAGUGAGGUCACGCACCUCCACCCUGCUCCUGCCUCUGCAGCAUGGAACACAUCAAUUUCCUUGUCAAUUGAGAAUCAAGAAAGAUAUAUUCUAUCCACAGUUUCAUUUCACCAAUCAUCUGUUCAUUUUCAACUAACGACAACCAUUUAUAUGUCUUUAAAUAUUAAUGUGGGUGCCAAAGAACACAAAGCAAAGGCACUGUUCAUUCAGAGCCGAAAUUGACUGAGAAUUCCUGCAGAGGUGAAGUUUCUUCUAAUUGAUGGAUUUGGUCUGGCAAUGCCCAUGGCCAGAGGUGCACAACAAGGAAAUGAAUGAGUGCAGAGGGAAUAGUGCCAGUCAAGAAUCUACAGGUUCAGGUGUAUGCUUAGGCAAGUGCCUAACACAAUUUCUUUGUCAAUGGUGCCGUAUUAAGUUGACUCUGGAUCCCCUCAGAAAUUGGGAAGAAACUCAGGGGAGAAAUGACCGUAUGUGCUUUCCCUUGAUUAGUUAUCGUCACUACAUCACCUCACCUUAAUCUGCAUCACCAUAUGCAGCCACUGUAUUUCAUAAUGCUUAGGGUUGAUCAGCCAUUAUCCCAUAGCUCCCUGUCCAUGGCUCAGUUUGGUGCUUAGAUUAACCUAGGAGGUGGUAAGGAAAGUACUCUUGCCACCUUGAGGGGUGAAAAGGCUAAAUGACUUCUGCAGGGGUAACAUUCAGUAAGUGGAGGAGGGCCUGCCUUGUUCUCUCCUUUGUCUCCAG
rnacentral:lncRNA from 1 species